CGUGCUCUCAGAGAGCGGGUCUCCUCUCUUAGUUUCUGGGACUGAGAUGUAUAUAUAUAUAUAUAUAUAUUAUUUUGUUGCAGGUCGGUGUAAUGUCAAAGGGACCUGUCUUUAGGGACCUCUGUGUACCAUGGAAGCUGUCUAGACGAGGAUUGAUCUGAUUGGUUGAGUGUGCAGAGAAUUUAUGUCUUUGGCAAGUGAAACCUCUGGGGUCUUUACCCACUAAAAACUGCCCGACUCUAUGGCUGAGAAAAUGCUGAAGAGCUCUUCAUAGCCCUCUUUCUCUCUGCUGCAUCCCCGGCAUCUCCAUGGUUACUUUAGAUCUAGUGAUUGGCUUUGAUGUUGGGGUCCUUCCUAAUGGCUGCCUCCUGGUUGCUGCCUUACUAGGGUUGGUUGCUAGGCUUGGGCUGAUGUUGUAUUGGGUUUGUAGGAAUCUAUGUUUUAGGUCAUGGGGUUGAAUUAUGAUUUGUGCUUGGACCUCA